GUCGAGCGAACAGACGAGGAGCUUGCUCCUCUGACGUUAGCGGCGGACGGGUGAGUAACACGUGGAUAACCUACCUAUAAGACUGGGAUAACUUCGGGAAACCGGAGCUAAUGCCGGAUAAUAUAUUGGACCGCAUGGUUCAAUAGUGAAAGACGGUUUUGCUGUCACUUAUAGAUGGAUCCGCGCCGCAUUAGCUAGUUGGUAAGGUAACGGCUUACCAAGGCAACGAUGCGUAGCCGACCUGAGAGGGUGAUCGGCCACACUGGAACUGAGACACGGUCCAGACUCCUACGGGAGGCAGCAGUAGGGAGUCUUCCGCAAUGGGCGAAAGCCUGACGGAGCAACGCCGCGUGAGUGAUGAAGGUCUUCGGAUCGUAAAACUCUGUUAUUAGGGAAGAACAAAUGUGUAAGUAACUAUGCACGUCUUGACGGUACCUAAUCAGAAAGCCACGGCUAACUACGUGCCAGCAGCCGCGGUAAUACGUAGGUGGCAAGCGUUAUCCGGAAUUAUUGGGCGUAAAGCGCGCGUAGGCGGUUUUUUAAGUCUGAUGUGAAAGCCCACGGCUCAACCGUGGAGGGUCAUUGGAAACUGGAAAACUUGAGUGCAGAAGAGGAAAGUGGAAUUCCAUGUGUAGCGGUGAAAUGCGCAGAGAUAUGGAGGAACACCGGUGGCGAAGGCGACUUUCUGGUCUGUAACUGACGCUGAUGUGCGAAAGCGUGGGGAUCAAACAGGAUUAG
rnacentral:rRNA from 1 species